CCCACUGAGCCACCCAGGCACCCCAAAUGCUCCUAAUUCUUAAAAGUAAUCUCUACACCCAGCGUGGGGCUCAAAUUCACAACCUGGAGAUCAAGAUUCAGAUGUUCUACUGUCUAAGCCAGCCCGAUGCCCCAAAAUACUUUUUUAACUGUAUAGCGUGGAGCAGAGGAAGAGGAGCUGUCAUAUGACCAGAAACAUAACCAUUAUGAAAUAGACGCAGAGCCUUUUCCCUACAAAGACAUAUACUACCAGGAGUAAAGCUGCUAGAGCUCUUUCCAGCUGGGUGAAGGACGCUGCUCCCAUUCCAGGUCACUCUACCCUUCUUCUCUCACCUAAUUGAGAGGUCAUAGUCAACAGGUGCUAGGGCUUCAGGGAAAUACACUGAGAAUGCCGUAGCCAGGGAAGGCAGUUGGGGUCAGGAAGUAAAAGAAACUACAGCGGUAGAGAUGUGCUCCUGAGACUCAGUCCCACUGAAGACUGAGAUUUCACUGGAAGAUUUAGUAUGCUCCUGCCCUCGAACACCUGACACGGCAUCCGUGGAGCUGCAGUGUAACAACACUGGGUUACAGCUAAAGGAGAUGCAAGACAGGGACUCUCUGUGAAGAAUACUCUUCGGAGCACAAAGUCUGGAGAAGAGAUGAAAACUAGCGCACAGGAGGAAUCUGAAGCCUCUGGUGUCCAUAACUACAGCAAGCAAGUUCAGCCCUGCUCCUACCACAUUACCAUAAAUCCUCACACGAACCUCCUGUUUACCUUACUUCCUGUUACCAAACAUAUGUCUGGCUUUCAGCAGCAACUGACAAGGCAUGUCAAAAGGCAAGAAAAAAAGAAAAUCUGAGGACACACAAAGCAAUCAUCACAAUGACAAUCACAUAGGACACUGAGGUUGGAACUAUCAGGAUGUAAAAUAACAAUGAUUAAGAAAGAUGUUAAGGGCUGUAGUGGAAAAAGCAGACAAAAUGCAGGAAUAGAUGGAUAAUGUAAGUGGAGAGAUGGAAACUAUGGAAAGGUCAAAAGUGAAGGCUUGAAGGAAACAACACCAGUAGAAAUGAAGAGUGCCUUCAGUGGGCUCAUCAGUAGGCUCAGCCCAGCCAAGGAAAGAACUGGUGCUCAGCACAAUUCCGCAGAAUGCAAGUGUCUACUAUUAUCUAGUUUACAGGUGUACAGGGGGAUUCACAGAGGUCCCACCGGGUUGUUUGGAGUCCAACCACCGGCACCAGAUAACAGCCCCCACCCCCACCCGGCAGUUCAAUCUUGUUCAGGGGAGAUCCGAGCCAGGGAUAUGGAACUAUUUUGUGUACAGAGGAAGUUGACAUUUUUAUUUCAUUUCCAAUUCAUUAAAUUAUGAAUUUAUCAAA